rnacentral:rRNA from 1 species
GAGAGCCCGUCUGGUCGGACACCGAGCCCGUGUAAAGCUCCUUCGACGAGUCGAGUAGUUUGGGAAUGCUGCUCAAAAUGGGAGGUAUAUGUCUUCUAAAGCUAAAUAUUGGCCAGAGACCGAUAGCGCACAAGUAGAGUGAUCGAAAGAUGAAAAGCACUUUGAAAAGAGGGUUAAAAAGUACGUGAAAUUGUUGAAAGGGAAGCGCCUAUGACCAGACUUGCGCCCGGUGAAUCAUCCAGCGUUCUCGCUGGUGCACUUUGCCGGGCACAGGCCAGCAUCAGUUUGGCGCGGGGGACAAAGGCUUCGGGAAUGUGGCUCCCUCGGGAGUGUUAUAGCCCGUGCGCAAUACCCUGCGCCGGACUGAGGUACGCGCAUCGCAAGGAUACUGGCG